GACGGUGGCGGUGAAGGGCAAUGAUCGAAAGAAAAGAGGAGGAGACGAGAACCUUGGACAGUAGUGUGGAAAUGGUAAAGCUAUAGCUUGCGGUGGAGGAAUUUUAGAUGGUGGUUGAAGGUGGUGGUUGUUUGUUAAAAAGGAGAGAAAAUGAAAAAGGAAUAAAUGAAAAAAAAUGAGAAUAUUGUAGCAAAUGAGUAGUAUGGAAGGCAAGGAGGUGGGGUAAGCUUGGUCAACUGUGACCAGGUUCAGUGAACCACAGAAAAAGGUAAUAUAUGAUGUUUUGGCAAGGGAGGGAGACAUGGAAUGAAAAGGGGGUCAUGUUACCCCCAACAUAUGGUAAGUUUGACUCAUA
rnacentral:lncRNA from 1 species